GCCAAGGUAACUCAGCCUGGUUUAGAGUGCCAGACUCAUAAUCUGGAAGCCGGGGGUUCAAAUCCCCCCCUUGGCA
rnacentral:tRNA from 1 species